rnacentral:lncRNA from 1 species
GGGAGAGGUUUUUCCCAAGUUGGAUCGUGCAUGAUGCUAAGGGUACAUUUGAAUUUCGUAGUUUUUGAUGCAAUAAUACAAAUUGUUUAGUUUCGGUGAAAAAGUUCAUGAAUCUGACAAGUUUUAUGUUGGUUGCCAAGCAUACAUUAACCCUCCUCUUUGUUUAAGCGUGGGACUCAUUAAACACGUUCUUUUAAAUAAGAACUCAAUUGUAGAUUCUUCUUCGUUGCGUGUGCUAAAAGCAAAGUUGCAUUUGGGAUUUGGAGGUUUGUGGUGCAACAUUGCUUUGAACAUAGACAUCUUGCUAUUUAAACAGGGAAGGUUGUCUUCUCUUUUAGAGGAAAGAAAAGAUUUUGGGGAUAGAAAGAAGGCAACAAAAAUAAUUUAAAAAAUCAAACAAGGUUAAAUUAAACAAUAAAGUCUAAAAGAAUCACUACUAGGAAAAAAGAGGAGAAUAGGUGAAAUGCCUAACUCCUUAAUUGCCCAGUGAAGCAAACAAAAUAGUUAAAGUACUGUAGAGGGCUGGAAUCGAACUCACGCAACCUAGAAGGAAUGUCCGGAGUUUUGCCAGUGGCAUCAUGUAUUAUUUUAUUCAAUGAGUGGCACUUUGGCACCCCCUCGGCCCUUAGUAGAUCCUCCCCUGGUUAAAAGCAACUCCUUUUUUCACUCGUAAGUAAAAUAUAUGCAUAAGAAUUGUCUAGCACCAUUAGGUGAUGUAAGUUGGAAUUCUUGAAGCAAGUAAAAUUAAUUGGAACUGAAGAAGUUUCUUUUAUCUCAUUGUGUAUGAACUGUCAGUUUACUUUCUUUGUCGUGGUAUAUUGCAUGAGAAAAUUGUGUUUCGUCUUUGCUGCAUAAAUUGCAUUUCAUUUUGCAAUGGUUAACUAUGUCUGACAAAAUCUCCUUUAUGCUAUUUAUUCAGGCUUUUCAUUGCAGCAGUGGAAGAGCAUACCUGUUCAAUAAAGUGUGAGUGGCCUCUAACGUCAUAUUGAUAGUAUACAUUGCUAUUUCAUGAAUCUGGAUUUUUGUUUUACAAGUGAUUUAAUUUGUUGAUAAACCUGCAUCCAUUCGUGAGUGACAACUGGUGCUUUCUUUUUGGGGGUUGUACGAUACUGUAUCUGUUGUCGGGAGAAAGUGCUGUUUAAUAUGUUUGGCACAUCAUUCGGACGCAGUUGAUAGGCGUUUCUCCUAAUUGGUUAAGUGUUACAUCACCAUUAACAACCUGUUGCGUCUAUUUUCAGUGAAUUAUAGGCAAUACGGUCAUUUUUAUUCAACAGAAUGCCAUUUGUGACCAAGUAUUUGUGGAAUGAAUGAUAUUGCCUGUCCGGACAUUUUUUUUUUGAAAUGGUAGAGGUUUUAUUAAUAAUAGUACCAAGAUGGUACAAAAAGUACAAGCCACCAAAAAGACAAGUAGCAACCCUUCUUUGUUCUUAUUAUUAUUCCUUUAAAUUUCGGGGGGUGGGGGGGUUAUAGAUAUAAAUGGCUAUUGCAAAGAAAUGCACUUGAGGGCUGAGGCAUGUAGGAACUUCUCACAUUUGAUUCAAAAUACUUUGUCAUGCUUUCUAUAGUAUUUUGCCAUGAUUUCUUUUCUUCCGUUAUUUCUUUUUCAAUCUUCUUUGAUAUGUUUAUCCUUGAGCCGAGGGUCUAUAGGAAACAACCUCUCUACCUCCAAAGGUAGGCGUAUGGUUUGGGCACACUCUACCCUCCCCAGACCCCGCCUAUUGGAUUACAUUGGGUAAGUAGUUGUUGUUAAUUGCAAGUUCCAAUGGCUUGCUCAACAUCAGCAUCAGCUAGAUAUUAUGUGCAUUUGAGCAUAACUGUUUGACUUAGGCCACAUUUGGAUAUAGAGUUUGCUCAAUUGUCCGAGGUACGUGUACGUACAUACAUAUGUAUGUAUGCUUGAAUUCUUCUUGCCCAUCUACUUUCAAGAUUUUGGUUUCCCUGGAUUAGCCUGGCUGCCCAGAUUGUAUGUUGUCAUCAGUAACUAUAAUUCAAAUUUUCAUAGUUUCAUUAGUGAGUUAUCGACCUAGCAAGUCAAAACAGAAGACAAUGCUGCAGGCUGGAUGGAAUCUGUACUUUUGCAUGGUUGCUUGGUGUAGACUGGAGUUUUCUGAGCGGCUGUAGUUGGUAGAAGACCACUUUCCUUUUUUAAAGAUGUUGCUAUGUUUAAAGCUUAUUUUCUGACAGGAAGCUAUGCUGAAUCAUCUUACUGCGGAAGCUUGUUUUUUAAUUAGGGGUUGAAUGGAUUAGUUUAUGUCAUGGUUGUUAAGUGGUGAUCUCUUACCAGGAGCACAAUCUAGUUCAGUGGUCUUCUUUACUUGGCUUUCUUGAUUUGUGCAAGAGAUGUGUGUUUUUAGCUCCAUUUUCUGUUCUUUUAUCCUUCCUCGGCCUGAUCAGAUUAUGUUUCUUUUCCAAUUCAUUAGAUGGAAUUUUUCACCUUUCUUUCUUUGUGUUAUUUAGGGUAAAUAUAUAUUUUGGACAGACCGAGGAGAGGACGUUGCUUUCUGGAACGCACACUGUGACGGAUAUAUUUUGUCGUCGCUGUGGGCAGAUUCUUGGCUGGAAAUAUGUAAUUCCUCUCAUCCCCUCUUCUUUUUCCAUACGCACCAACACGUAGAGCCAAAAAAUACAACUAUGGGAACACACACACACACACAAAAAGUUCCUUUUAUUGUCUUUUGGGGGAUAUGAAUCGGUGUAUAUAAGUUAAACUAACACAGUAUAUGUAACAUGCGUAGUUCUAUUAACGACUAAUAUUUGUGUCUCGUUUACACAGGAGAAAUCCCAUGAGGAAAGCCAGAAGUACAAAGAAGGGAAAUUUGUCCUUGAAAGGUUUUAUUUCUCUCUCCCCCUCUUUAUCUUUUUAUAGUAAAAAAAAAAUUCGCAUUACAUUUUAUCGGAAAACAACAAUAUGCUCAUUUUAAGUGUUCCUAAUAUAACAUUUCUAUGUUGAUAAUGUGUGUUGAACAGAGUCAGGAUCAUUGAUGAUGAAGAUGAUUCUGAAUUCUACAUUGAUACUCGUUCAAGCACAAGUGAUGAUGAAGAUACAAUGUAAAUAGUGGGAGCUUAGUGCACCGAUUUGCAGAUACUUGUAUCUUGUAGACUUAGCAAAAGAAUAGUUGUAUCUUGUCUGAAAAUCUCUCUCAAGUUUGUGGAUGUAGAAACUAAGUUGCUGCCGAAGUGUUUUUUAAUCAAUAUAUGCUCGACUUAAGUUAAUGCUUUAGUGGUCUUGCAUGUUUUUUGUGCUUCAUUAUAUUAUUCUGCUCAGCAUGGUUUGUUAUGCUUUCUCUAUUAUUUGUGAUGGUUUAUUUAGGAAUGUAAUUGCUUAUGCUUUAAGAAAAAAAAUCAAAUAUAUAUAUUCAAAUAGGGAUCAAAUCUCACCCAAUCACUCGAUUGAGUUUGGUGUAGCAAGUGUCGUAUCUCAAGAAGGAUGUAAACUAUAUAUACUAGCUUCACGGCAUGUGCGGUGUACGUGUGUAGUGUAUCAUAUCAUAUACUGUAUAUUGUAAAAUAGAAUUAAUAUUACUAAAUUAAAGCUUUUUAGGAAAUAAUUAUAAUUUAAAGAAUAUAGGACAAGUGAUUAUAAAUGAUUAAUACUAUCAUAGAGUUAUUUAUUGUUUAGAUCAAAAUGACAAGAUAUCAUUGAAACUUUUCAAAAUACAUUCAAAGUUUAAAUUUUGGUUUAGUAAAUACUCCCUCCGUCCCAUUUUAUAUGUCAUCACUUUUUAGAAAUAGUUGGUUCAUAAUACUUGUCAUUUCAUAAAAUUAAUGCAUAAAUUACCAUAUUGUUCCUUUUUAACCCUUGUGAGUUAAUUAGCCUUGAAAAUAUACAUUUGACCAACUUAGAAAAGCUAAGUAAAUGAUUCAUGUUCAAUAGUUAAAUUAAUUAAUCAAAAUAAAUUAAUUUAUAUUCAUUGAUUGAAAACAUGAGUUCCAAAAAAAAUUAAAUAAGAGUAGAAGGAUAAAGUUACAUUAUUUCUUAAUGCAAGUGCAAAGUAAAAAUGUAACAUAUAAAAUGAGACUCAAGAAAUACAUAUAUAAGCAUUGACACCUCUUCACACAAGUUAAAUAUGUAUUUUUCCACUUUCAAUACAUUAGUUUAUUUAAUUGUAUUUGAUAUGGACCCCAUAAUUUUCUUUCAAUUUUCAAUUAAACUAUACCCUCUCUCUCCUCUCUGGUUUUAAUUGCAAUUUUAAAGGACAAUCUAUACCCCCACAAUCCACAUGUCAACUUGUUAAUAGAUCCUCACACAAAUUUUAUUGGUGGUAUCUUGCUCAAAAUAAAUUUUUCAACAUGAGACUCUUUAUAAAAGAAUUUAUACAACAUAAAAUAUGAUCUCAAUUUUUUGUGGCGAGCAUAAGACCCUUUAUAAAAGAACAGAGAAGUGUUGAAAAACACUCUAAAUUUGGUGAAAAUUUAGAAUUAAUCUCACUCAUGUUACAAGACUGGAGAGCGUAUUUACAUGUAUUACUAAAGUAAAGAUAUUUUUAAGGUUGUUGAAACAAUAUGAUCGAGUUUAGGGGGUAUUGAGAAGUAAUAAGUACAUACAUAUUACGGUAAAAUACAAGUUAGAGAUAAGCAAGCAGGUGCAGCUUGCUAUGAUAAUGGAUACAAUAUAUCUAUGGGUUUGAGUGUGUUGCCGGAUCCGAAUUCACAAUUAUCGAUUCGUUCAUCUGCGGUUUGCUUUUCGCUAUUCCAAUUUUGUUUACAAAGAAGAAGAAGAAAUGAAUCCGAACACAAUGGGAGAACGGAAGUCUUCAUCUAAGAAAACAUCUUCCAAAAAGAAGAGGCUCAAAGUUUCCUCUAAGGUAUCUUUUUUAGCUCUCCAUUUCGAUGUUUUCCAUUCAUUUACCUAAUAACAUUCGUUUCGCUUUCUCAGUAUUAUGUAUAAUGUUCCUGUAUGCUGUGUUGAUCUCUUUCUAUUUCGUUAUGAAUUUCUGUGUAUAGUUAUGUAUUUUAGGGUUUAUGUAGAAUUUAUUGAACUUUGUUUUGUAUCAAAUAAAAUCACGGUUUUUAUUUUCAAUAAUCUUAAAAGGUUAUUGAAUUAUGAGAAUUCUCCUUUAAUUUGAUUUUUAAGGGCUUUAUGUUUUUUCCUGUUUACUGAAUUAAUUUUUGUCAUGUUAUGGAAUAUUUGUAAAUGUUUUCCUUUUGUAGUGAUGCUAAUAGUUCCCUUUCUACUGGUGGUGGAAAUAUGGAAGAGAAUUAAAAAUAAUGGUUAGUAAUCUGCUAUGUUGCUCGGACUCUCCAAAAAUGUUGUUGAAUCUGUGUUGGAUCUUCCCAUAAUGCACUACUUUUGGGGGAUACGACACACACGACAACAUUUUUAAGGAGUCUGAACAACAUAAGCUAUCUGUACCCUCUGUUGAACCUAAGUCCAAGCAACAUAUGUAAUUAGCUGGUUUAACUUUUGGGUCUUUUCAUGUGUGUAUCAUUAGGGGAUGAUUUUUGGGGGAUAAAAAUUAAGCUAGCUGUUCUUUUAGCUAAAAAUUAAAAUGAAACUGUUUUCCAAGAACAAGGGUCAAAAAGUAGUUCAAAAGGCUGGUUAUUUUGGGUACAAUACUUAUAUGAGUUGACAUAACUGAACUGGGAGAAUAUAAGUCCUACUCCUUCCAGUUUGUUUAGAAGGGAUUAUUUUUCAUGUAAAUAUUCAUAUACAAAUCUGUAAUAUGGUAAGGCUUCAUGUGGUAUAGCUCAUGAUCGCUCGUGGGAGUGUUAAGUCACAUUGCAUAGUCAUUUGAAUUGUUAUAGUUAGAGUUCCAUGAAUCGUUUAUUGUUCUUUGUAUUUUUUUUGUUUUCUGCUCUAUCCGCAAAAUAAACUUAGUGGAGCAAAUCUAGAGUUAUUUAUCCAAAAAAACAAUUAUCUGCACCUGUUAAUACUUGGUAUCUUUUAGAAGCCACCAUGGAAAAAAGGAUAUCUAAGAUCUUGUAUUAAAUACAUUCUCUUUUGUUUCAAUUUGUAAUUCGUUAACUGACACUCAGAAGAAAGAAUUGUGGAAGACUUUAUAAUGCUUGAUCAUGCCAGCACACUUUGUACACUAUUUAUUGCAUUAUAUUUUUAAUUAAUAUUAGGCAUGCUUUCUGUAGAACAAUGUAAGGUUACCUCCUGUUUUCUUAUGAAUUCCAAUUUAUUAUCCUUCAUUAUACAUCUUCAUGUGUUGUGUGGUUAGAUACGGAAGAGAAAAAGCAGAAGAAACAAAUCCAAGAAGUUAUCCAGUUCUGAGGAUGACUCGUCAUCUUCUGCUUCCUCUGAUUAUUCUAGCAGUCCACAGUCUUUGUCCUCCGAUUCAGAGGUUGAUUAUAGUAUGAAAAAACGUAGGCACUCACGUGAUAUAAAACACGUGAAGAAAAGAACUUGGAGAAAAUCUUCAAGCCGAGAUGUCAGUGAGGGUUCACCCCCUGUAAAGAAAAGAAAACGGUCAAAUAGAAAGAGUCUUGAUUAUGGGAGAAAAGUGCAGAAGAAGAAGCGAAAGAGACACACUAGUAUUAGCUCCACGAACAGUGACUCAAGAUGUUGUUCUAGGAAAAUAGUAUUAGCUCCAAAGGUAGAGAUUUUAAGAGCUUUUCCACUUGCCAAGAUACAACUAAUAGUGGUAAAUAGGAAGCGAUAACGAAAUUGAGUUUGAUUAAAAGACAUUUGCAUAUACUACUUAAGGUUCCAAAUAUUUAUAGUUUUAACAAAUUAAUCUUGUCUUAAAAUACCUGACGUCUGAAGAAUUUGUUUUAUUAUAUCUAAAUUUUAAAUUUUCUAAUUUAAUUAGUAAAGUAUUAUUACUGAUUAAAGAGAAAUAAUAAAAAGUAAUAUAAACAAGUAUACUUAUGAUUAAAAAUAUUAUUAUAAAUACUUUUGCAAAGCGAUGUCUAAAUAAAAUAGGCAUAAUAUAUAAAUAUAUCUUUUAAUUUGUCUUCCAUACUAAGACGAAUGUAUCUAUUUGUUUAAUUUAUAUAAGUUUUAGAGUCGAUUUAUACAUAUUUAAAAUUGAAGGGCAUAAAUAUUUGCUUAAGCUAAAUUAAAAACACAUUUAUGUAUUAUAUAUAUAUAUAUAUAUAUAUUAUUAUUAUUAUCAUAUAUUACUAUAAGCAUGAACAAAAAAAGUUGAGAAAAAAUUUAAAAAAGUCUAUACCUAAAUUGCUAAACUUUUCCUCUUCUCAUAAUUUUUUCCUUUGAUAUAAUUUAUGUGGAUAAAGUAUUAUCCUUUAUUAUAAAUAACGAAAUUUAAUAAUUUGAAGGGUGAAAAUCUGCAAAAUGGAGACACACACAUUGAUAAUGUCCUCUUGAUUAUAUUAAAGAAUGACUCUAGCUUCACAAAUUUAAAUUCAUUGAUGCUUAAUUACGUGAUAGGAACUUUAGUUAUUUUUUUUACAUAGUUUGCUAACUUUCUUUUUCCUAUUCUUCAUUUAUUUACUAUUAUUUUCUAAUUACUUAUUCAACUUUUAUACUCUUAAUAUUCAUAACUCUCAUCUUUUCAUAUUCAUAACCUCUAAAUAUUUAAACUAACACUUUAAGAUAUCUUUUGAUAUUCCUUCUAUUCUAUCUAUAUAAAUUCAACUUCUUUAUCUCAUGAAAUCCCUACCAAGUUUAUUAGACUAUUAUUAUUUUUAUUCUAUAGUUAAAGUAGAUGAAGAAAACUCUUGAAUUGUGAUAGGAUAUGGAAGGAAUCGAUAAGAACUCAGAGAGUUAAGUACUAAUUUUGUACUUAUUUUUUCAUCUAUAUAUGUAUCAGUCUUAUAAGAAUAAUGUCUACCUUGUAUUUUUUCUUAAAUCUGUUUCUUUUUGUCUUUUUUUUUUUCUCUAUUAGACUUCUUAAUUUAGUUUUCUAUGAAUGUUUUAUUGUCGUAAGUCUUUAUACUUAUUUUGUAAUUGUUGCAUUUUAUUGUUCAUUACAAUUUACAUAUAUAUAUUUUCAUGAAAUUUUAGUCAUUCUAACGUAUCUAUAAAAAUUCACAUGAAACACACGUGCUCAGCACGUGCUCAGAAACUAGUUAGUUAUAAAAAAGUUAAGACCGUUAAAAAUCUACACCACAACAACAUAAAUAUUUUUUUUUAGAGACAAUCUGAGGUCAAAUGUUCACCACUUUUCGUCAUUGUUACUUUGUUACUCUAACAAAAUUUAUAGAAGGAGACAACUAAAUUUGAAACAACAGCAAAAUAAUAUUGUUGACCCUUUUAGAAAUUCAUUCUUCAUUAAACUGCUGCUCUAAUUUUCUAGCAACCAUACAACUUCAGCUAUUUAAACCGUAUAUUAUUUUCUGUUUUCAAAGCAUUUAGUUAUUUUCCGUAUUAAAUUAAAUAUUUUCUGUUUUCAAAGCAUUUAGUUAGUUUCCCGUAUUAAAUUAAAUAUUUUCACUUUUCUAAUCAUUUAAUAGACUCUUUUGUUUUGGAAUAUGAAUAGUUAUUUUCAUUUUCUAUAUAUGUAUUGUAAAUUAAUUAUCAUUUUUUACUUCUAAUCUUUUUUAUAGUUUUCUCUUGUAUUUGCUUAGCCUUUGUGUUUGCUAAUUACUAAUUUUUAUUUAUUUUUCUUUGUUUCAGAUAUUAUCUUGCAAUUGUGAACUCUUCCCUUCUUCAUCGCAUCAUCAGCUACAUAAUAGAUAUGAUAGUCAUAUCAUUGGAGUUAUGCCUAGUCAUGAAGAAGGUAAACAUACAUUAGACCAUUUCACUAGAAAUCUUUGUAGUUUGUUAAGAUGUGUCUCAUAAGGAAAUAUAGAGAACUUGUAUUGUUUGAGAUCCAUAAAUUAGUAGUAAAUACUAGAAUGAAAUGAGUCCAAAUAGAGUGAAAUAAAUAGUGAGAAUGCAUAUGCCGACUCUAAGAAGCAUGUAAUUGAGGUAUGGUUGUAAUGGGAUUAAAACGAGUAAUAGAAGUAGAUGGAUCGUUGUAGCCGAUAAGUAACUGCUAACAAACUGAUAUACAAACAUUAUGAGUUUUGUCAUCUAUACUAUACUGUUACAUGCUAUAGGGUUUUGACCAAAUGAUAGCAGAAGCUUUCACUAGAAAACAAAGUAAAGCUUAAUGUUGACCAAACAACAUCAUCUGAACUUACGUGCUUGGGUCCAGUAAUCUCGAAUUGGGCUUUGGGCUGUCAUCACAUAUAUACAUAGCAUAUGCAUAAUCAUAAACAAGGAUUGUGCCAUUGUCUUUAGAAAAUUGCACCACUUUAGUCACCCUGAUGCUGUCAAAUCAGUUGGAUUAUUUCAACCAUUUGUAUUAAGUUCUAGCUUGUUUGUGAAUAUGGAUUGAUUAUGUUAUUUCGUAAUACUAUUAUAUUAAACAUUUUAGUUAAUAUUCUCAUAUAAAAUUUACACAUGAAGGAUUCAUAAUCUUGAAUCAAACAAAGAAAGUUGUACAUGCAAUAAUCUAUUACAAAUAAAUAUGAUUUUUUUUCAAGUGUACCCCGUGAAAUUGACAACGAUACAUUAUCCAUCUUAAAGAAGACAUAAGUUAAUCAAUAUUUCUACACUAUGAAAUACAAUUAUUAUUCGGAAACAACGUCUUGAUACGUAUGUGGAUAUAAGGAGGAGACUAUAGUUUGUUAAAAAUAAGACACAAACUUUAAGAUAUGAAACAUUUACAAACAUAAUCAAUGUUACUUAUGUUUUACCUAUAAAUUAUAUGUUAUUGAAAUAUUAAAAAAAUAAGGAAAGUGCCACACUGAGUAUAAGAUAUAUGAGAACUACAUAAGAAAAAUGUUACACCAAUUCAAUUGACUGUUUAUAGCUACAAACAAUUACCCUUUCCUAAAUUUAGUCACUUAUUACUUACAUGUUUUAGCAUCAUCUAUAUCAUUUUUAAAAAUUGUACUAAUUAACAUGGGACACACGUGCAACGCACGUGUCCAGAAACUAGUGCAAUAAAAUAUUGAUAGCUCGUUUUUAUACAUUUAAACAGCACUAAAAGAUAGGAUUAGGUGGCUUUGAAGUUAGCAAAACAAAUCUGCACCACAUGUAAUAAUAAGUCGUUUUCUACUUUGUUGUUUCUGGAAUUUGACACUUCACUUCUGUGGGCUAAAUUCUAAAAUCUUAAGACCCCUCAAUAAACCUUGUCUUUUCAUCUUUUCUUUAAAAAGGGUUUCAGUUUUGGGAAAUUGGGGCUGAGCUGCAGUUUGUGUGAAGUGAAAAAUGGGGAGAGUAUUUUUGGUGGAUCUUGAAGGCAAACCUACAAUUGCAAAUUCUGCAAAACCCAACUUGCCCGUGUUGAUCAACUUAUUUCCAAGGUACGAUUUUUUAUUUUUUAUUUUUAUUUUUUGGUUGAAUGACUAGAUCUAGCUAUGUAAAAUCCUGAUCUUUCAUUUGACAUGGUUAUAUAUCACUUCUCGGUACAAGUAAAAAUCUCACCUUUUUUAUAGGUUGUAAAUAAGUAAUUUUUGUGUUGUUUAGUGCAAAUGUAAUGCUUUUCUUGUUAAUUCAGAAGUUUCAAAUUUUACGAAUUCAUCAAUCCUCAUCAUGAAUUUGAAUUGACCAUUAGGAAAAUGGUUUAUUGAGUUAGGGAUGGAAGAGUGUGCAGAUUUUAUUCGUCUCUAAAAAAAUGUUGUUGAUAAGAUCCAGAAAUGGGUGACUACUUCAUGAGAGAUAGCAGUGACGUGUGAAGACGUUUGGAAGCUCUCAAGCAUGUUGGAUCAUGUCGAUUUUAUGUAUAUUCAUAGAUGUUUGAACAAAAUAGUUCAUAGUUUAGCUAGAUUUUCUAUUUCUUUGUUGAAGGAGAUCUCUUGGGAGAGGUUUUUCCAGAGUUGGAUCAUGCAUGAUGCUAAGGGUACAUUUGAAUUUCGUAGCUGUUGAUGCAAUAAUACAAAGUGUUUAGUUUCGGUGAAAAAGUUCAUGAAUUUGACAAGUUUAAUGUUGGUUGCCAAGCAUAGAUUAACCCUCCUCCUUUGUUUAAGUGUGGGACUUAUUAAACACGUCGUUUUAAAUAAGAACUCAAUUGUAGAUUCUUCUUCAUUGCGUGUGCUAAAAGCAAAGUUGCAUUUGGGAUUUGGAGGUUUGGGGUGCAACAUUGCUUUGAAC